GGCGUAGUCAUAUGGAGGAAAUUAGACCUAAUCUUUUUUACCCUUCUGCUAUUUUGGGUCGAGAGAGAGCCAUUGUUCUUAACAUAAAAGAACUCUUUAGAAGUGGCAAUGUUGAGAAUCCUUGGUUCUUCCUUGGUCCCUCUCUCGUGUGUAUGUUCAGAUAAUGAGCAAUGGGAUCUACAAGAGCCCGGUUCAUAGAGUCUAACAGAGAAAAGGAAAGGAUAUAUGUGGCUAAUAGCAGACAUCUGGUCAAAGAAGUAUCUCUUUCUGCUUGUAGGUUCUUUUUUUUUUUUAAGUUUGUAAACUUCAAACCCAUAACCUUGUUCUAUCAAACUCUUUGAGUUUUUCUUUUGUUUGAUUGAGAAACCUAUGAAGGUUACUCUAGUGGAAGGAUGAAUUUUGAUAAGUACUUAGUGGGUUACUAUGA